AUUGAACGCUGGCGGAAUGCUUUACACAUGCAAGUCGAGCGGCAGCGCGGGGCAACCUGGCGGCGAGCGGCGAACGGGUGAGUAAUGCAUCGGAACAUGUCCAUUGAUGGGGGAUAGCCCGGCGAAAGCCGGAUUAAUACCGCAUGAGCCCGAGAGGGGAAAGUGGGGGACCGCAAGGCCUCACGUCGAUGGGUUGGCCGAUGUCCGAUUAGCUAGUUGGUGGGGUAAAGGCUCACCAAGGCGAUGAUCGGUAGCUGGUCUGAGAGGAUGAUCAGCCACACUGGGACUGAGACACGGCCCAGACUCCUACGGGAGGCAGCAGUGGGGAAUUUUGGACAAUGGGGGCAACCCUGAUCCAGCCAUUCCGCGUGAGUGAAGAAGGCCUUCGGGUUGUAAAGCUCUUUUGUCCGGAACGAAACGGGUAAGGCUAAUACUCUUGCCUACUGACGGUACCGGAAGAAUAAGCACCGGCUAACUACGUGCCAGCAGCCGCAGUAAAAC
rnacentral:rRNA from 1 species